UACGUAGGUGGCAAGCGUUACUCGGAAUCACUAGGCGUAAAGCGCAGGUAGGCGGUUCGGUAAGUCUCUUGUGAAAGCUCCCGGCUCAACUGGGAGAGGUCAAGGGAAACUACCGGGCUAGAGUGUGGCAGAGGAAGCUGGAAUUCCCGGUGUAGCGGUGAAAUGCGUAGAGAUCGGGAGGAAUACCUAUGGCGAAAGCAGGCUUCUGGGCCGUCACUGACGCUGAUCUGCGAAAGCUAGGGGAGAAAACAGG
rnacentral:rRNA from 1 species